rnacentral:lncRNA from 1 species
GGUUGACUGCUGGUGGAGGUCAAUUGGGAGAGAAGGGAGAAUCAUCAGAUCAGGUACUUAUUGCCAGCUCUCUCCAAUGUGCAGGUAAGUCAGGACCUAGAUAAUCUCCUACUCCUUGCUCCCUGUUUCCUGCCUAAAAAAGAAAAUAAGUAGACCAAUCUGUUUUUACUAGUGGUACUAGUAAUAACUCUUAUAAACUCUCAUCUGGUCACGAGGGGGACCUGGACCCCAUACAGCAGAUGGUGGCACUGACGCCAACAUUCUACCACAGUGUACAAGCCUAGAGGUAGAGGAUGUAAACAAAAAAAAAACACAGACAAUAAAAGCAUGGCAAACAGACAACAAAUCAUGUUUUAAUAACGAAGCAAAGUUAGCAGACGUAUAAUUAAACAGACUAAUAAUAACAGACUGCGCUCAGUGUGAGUUCUGGGUUCCAGACACUGUAAUUUUCUCUGGAGCAGACAUUCUUAGGAUAUUAUGCUUGACCUCUUCGCAAUCACGUUCUUUUCACUUAAAAAAAAAACCACACAAAAAAAAAAACCCUUAACAUUUAUUUGAAACAACGGAUGCAUAGGCUAGCAUUUAAAAUAUAAGUAUAUUUGUUUGUAUAAAUAUCAGUAAUGUCAAGUAGCAUAUCAUAAAUAGCUUCCAUGUGCUACUAUGUUGCCAUUUUACAAUAGAUAUUACACCAUCGUAAUAAGCAUUCUUUGUAGGCUUAGAGUGAAUUCAUGUUAGAGGCUUUUGAAGUACAUUGAGAAAGGGCUGCUUACCUAAAACUUUUGUGUGGGAUUUUUUUUGAGUGUCCAUUAAAUCUGGUAGCACCUAUGUUCACUCGAUAAUCUGGUCUGCACUUGUUCUGUUUUUUGAUUUAGCAUGGAUGUUUGAAUUUAUCCCACUAUAAGAGAGGUUUAGUGGUCUGGAAUCGGUUACGUACACUAAACAAAAUUAUAAAGGCAAUACUUUUGUUUUUGCCCCCAUUUUUCAUGAACUGAACCCAAAGACCCUGAGGCCCAUUGUUAUGCCAUUCAUCCACGACCAUAACCUCAUGUUGCAGCAUGAUAAUGCAUGGCCCCAUAUUGCGAGGAUCUGUACACAAUUCCUGGAAGCUGAAAACUUCCCAGCUCUUGCAUGGCCAGCAUACUCACCGGACAUGUCACCCGUUCAGCAUGUUUGGGAUGCUCUGGAUCGGCGUAUACGACAGCGUGUUCCAGGUCCUGCCAAUAUCCAGCAACUUCAUCCAGGCAUUGAAGAGGAGUGGACCAACAUUCCACAGCCACAAUCAACAACUUGAUCAACUCUAUGCGAAGGAGAUGUGUUGCACUGCAUGAGGUAAAUGAUGGUCACACCAGAUACUGACUGGUUUCCGGACCCCCCUGGACACAUUUUAGAGUGGCCUUUUAUUGUGGCCAUCCUAAGGCACACUUGUUCAAUAAUCAUGCUGUCUAAUCAGCAUCUUGAUAUGCCACACCUGUGAGGUGGAUGGAUUAUCUCAGCAAAAGAGAAGUGCUCACUAACACAGAUUUAGACAGAUUUGUGAACAAUAUUUGAGAGAAAUAGGCCUUUUGUGUACAUAGAAAAAGUCUUAGAUCUUCAGCUCAUGAAAAAUGGGGGCAAAAACAAAAGUGUUGCGUUUUGUUCAGUGUAGAAGGGAUUUUAUUUUUAUUUUAUUUUUUUAUGAUACUGCAGUAUCUAAUACCUCUAUUUUUCCAUUUAAGGUUUGUAUAUGCCUUAAAGAUGCUGUGGACUUUAACUCGGACAGACUCGUCUCCGGGCUGACGAUUGAGAGUUACAGAAUACAGCAUCACGGUUGCAGUUGACCCCUAACCAUUUGUCUCCUUAGCCCUAAGCCCACUUAAAACUACUUCCUUUAACCCUAUGCAACCCUGAACUUAAGCCUAAACCCCUAACUAUAUCCCUGCCAACAGACUCUAUAACCAAAAUGUGAAU